UUUCCACUCCCUAUCCUCUCUCACUCUCUCCAUCUGGGCACUCUCCUUUCUCCUCUUCCUUUCCCAUAUUCUCUCCUUUUUUUUAUUUUCUUCUCCUUAAGAAAGCGGUAAUGUUGUUGAACGGAAGUGGUGCUUGACUUUGAUUUAGAAGCGGAGAUUACAUGGGGUGGGAUGGAGUUGCAGGAGGUACAUGGAUAGAGUUUUAUGGCUUUAAAUUUUGUGGCUGAGCUGGUUUGUAGAGACGGAGGUAUGGAAAAAGAGAUAAGGAGGUUGGAUGAGCAUGAAAGUAAGGAGAAUACAAGAAGAAGGUGGA
rnacentral:lncRNA from 1 species